rnacentral:rRNA from 1 species
GACGAACGCUGGCGGCGUGCUUAACACAUGCAAGUCGAACGGAAAGGCCCCUUUGGGGGUACUCGAGUGGCGAACGGGUGAGUAACACGUGAGUAACCUGCCCUUGACUUCGGGAUAACUUCAGGAAACUGGGGCUAAUACCGGAUAGGAAUCCUUGCUGCAUGGUGGGGGGUGGAAAGCUUCGGCGGUUUUGGAGGGACUCGCGGCUUAUCAGCUUGUUGGUGGGGUAGUGGCUUACCAAGGCUUUGACGGGUAGCCGGCCUGAGAGGGCGACCGGCCACAUUGGGACUGAGAUACGGCCCAGACUCCUACGGGAGGCAGCGGUGGGGAAUAUUGCACAAUGGGCGGAAGCCUGAUGCAGCAACGCCGCGUGCGGGAUGACGGCCUUCGGGUUGUAAACCGCUUUCAGCAGGGGCGAAGCUUGUGGUGACGGUACCUGCAGAAGAAGCACCGGCUAACUACGUG